GUAUCCGCUUCUUUGCAAAGUGUGAUUCAUUGUGUGAUUAUAAAUAGAGUCUUGUGGCUACUGUUUCACACAUUUCACUUCAUAUCAAUAUUUGAAGACGUUUUCAGUCCAAGAAGAAAUCAGCCAUCCUCAUCAUGAACAAAGCAGUCCUUACAGUUCUAGUGAUUAUGCUCGUUGCCGGAGUUUUCGUUGAACAGGGAGAAGCCGUUCUCCGAGCCGGUAGAGGUCUGGGGAUGGAGAAAGCUCAGCGUGGUUAUGAGCUUAAAACAGAGGCCCAAGACUCCACCAUGAUCACUUGUCAAUGCGCCAUGCCAUCAUACGAUUCAGAGAAAAAGAAGUGAAAGACCAACCAAUGGUGAGACACGAUGACAACGAUGGCGUUGAUAACCGGUGUAUACACGCGGUUCUUAGAUACAUAGUCCAAUAGAAAAAUUGUGUAGAAACAGACUAACAUGUAGAGGUGUAUGAAUGUAAUGAAGUGUAAUAAAAGUGCAGAUCUCUUGAGAAUCAAA